rnacentral:rRNA from 1 species
UGAAUACGAGAUGCUACGGCGUCGAAGCAGUGUAUGUCAGACUUCCAAGAAAAGCUCGCAAUGUCAUAAAUAAAUAAUGCCUGUACCAUAACCGACACAGGUGGGUAGGUAGAGUAUACUAAGGGGCGCGAGAUAACUCUCUCUAAGGAACUCGGCAAAAUAACUCCGUAACUUCGGGAGAAGGAGUGCCUUAUUUAUAAGGUUGCAAUAACAAGAUCCAAGCAACUUUUAUCAAAAACACAGGUCUCCGCUAAGUCGUAAGACGAUGUAUGGGGGCUGACGCCUGCCCAGUGCCAGAAGGUUAAAGAAGUUGGUUAGCAUUGCGAAGCUGAUGUCUGAAGCCCUGGUGAACGGCGGCCGUAACGAUAACGGUCCUAAGGUAGCGAAAUUCCUUGUCGGGUAAGUUCCGACCCGCACGAAAGGCGUAAUGAUUUGGAUACUGUCUCGGAGAGGGACUCGGUGAAAUAGACUUGUCUGUGAAGAUGCGGACUACCUGCACCAGGACAGAAAGACCCUAUGAAGCUUUACUGUAACUUGAAAUUGAAAUUGGACUUUAUUUGCGCAGUAUAGGUGGGAGGCGUUGAAAAUAAUCUCGCGGGAUUAUUGGAGCCAUCAGUGAGAUACCACUCCUAUAAUGUUAGAUUUCUAACUUUGUAUCAUUAUCUGGUCAAAGAACAGUUUCAGGCGGGCAGUUUGACUGGGGCGGUCGCCUCCUAAAUGGUAACGGAGGCGUACAAAGGUUUCCUCUGAACGGGUAGAAAUCGUAUCUAGAGUAUAAAGGCAUAAGGAAGCUUGACUGUGAGACCUACAAGUCGAGCAGGGACGAAAGUCGGUCUUAGUGAUCUGACGGUGCUGAGUGGAAAGGCCGUCACUCAACGGAUAAAAGUUACUCUAAGGAUAACAGGCUGAUCUCCCCCAAGAGUUCACAUCGACGGGGAGGUUUGGCACCUUGAUGUCGGCUCAUCGCAUCCUGGGGCGGUAGUACGUCCCAAGGGUUGGGCUGUUCGCCCAUGAAAGCGGUACGCGAGCUGGGUUCAGAACGUCGUGAGACAGUUCGGUCCAUAUCCGGUGUAGGCGUUAGAAUAUUGAGAGGAGCCUUCUUUAGUACGAGAGGACCGAGAAGGACAUACCUCUGGUGUACCAGUUAUCGUGCCAACGGUAAACGCUGGGUAGCUAUGUAUGGAGUGGAUAACCGCUGAAAGCAUCUAAGUGGGAAGCCCACCUC